GACGAACGCUGGCGGCGUGCCUAACUCAUGCAAGUCGAGCGAGUGGAUCUCCUUCGGGAGUGAAGCUAGCGGCGGACGGGUGAGUAACACGUGGGCAACCUGCCUCAUAGAGGGGAAUAGCCUUUCGAACGGAAGAUUAAUACCGCAUAAGAUUGUAGCUUCGCAUGAAGUAGCAAUUAAAGGAGCAAUCCGCUAUGAGAUGGGACCGCGGCGCAUUAGCUAGUUGGUGAGGUAACGGCUCACCAAGGCGACGAUGCGUAGGCGACCUGAGGGGGUGAGCGGCCACAUUUGGACUGAGACACGGCCCAGACUCCUAAGGGAAGCAGCAGUGGGGAAUAUUGCACAAUGGGGGAAACCCUGAUGCAGCAACGCCGCGUGAGUGAUGACGGCCUUCGGGUUGUAAAGCUCUGUCUUCAGGGACGAUAAUGACGGUACCUGAGGAGGAAGCCACGGCUAACUACGUGCCAGCCGCCGCCGUAA
rnacentral:rRNA from 1 species